rnacentral:rRNA from 1 species
UACGUAGGGGGCAAGCGUUGUCCGGAAUCAUUGGGCGUAAAGGGUGCGUAGGCGGCGCGGUAAGUCGGGUGUGAAAUCUUGGAGCUUAACUCCGAAACUGCAUUCGAUACUGCCGUGCUUGAGGACUGGAGAGGAGACUGGAAUUUACGGUGUAGCAGUGAAAUGCGUAGAGAUCGUAAGGAAGACCAGUGGCGAAGGCGGGUCUCUGGACAGUUCCUGACACUGAGGCACGAAGGCCAGGGGAGCAAACGGG